CUACGGGAUGCAGCAGUGGGGAAUAUUGGACAAUGGGGGAAACCCUGAUCCAGCAAUGCCGCGUGUGUGAAGAAGGCCUGCGGGUUGUAAAGCACUUUCGGUUGGGAGGACUGCUUCUAGCACUAAUAUUGUUGGAAGUUGACGUUACCUUCAGAAGAAGCACCGGCUAACUCCGUGCCAGCAGCCGCGGUAAUACGGAGGGGUGCAAGCGUUAAUCGGAAUUACUGGGCGUAAAGCGCGCGUAGGCGGCUAGAUCAGUCGGGUGUGAAAGCCCCGGGCUUAACCUGGGAACUGCAUCCGAUACUGUCGAGCUUGAGUACAGGAGAGGAGAGUGGAAUUCCACAUGUAGCGGUGAAAUGCGUAGAUAUGUGGAGGAACACCAAUGGCGAAGGCAGCUCUCUGGCCUGAUACUGACGCUGAGGUGCGAAAGCGUGGGGAGCAAACAGGAUUAGAUACCCCUGUAGUC
rnacentral:rRNA from 1 species